CCUACGGGAGUCUGCAGUGAGGAAUAUUGGUCAAUGGGCGCGAGCCUGAACCAGCCAAGUCGCGUGAGGGAAGACGGUCCUAUGGAUUGUAAACAUCUUUUGUCGGGGAGCAAAAGACGCCACGUGUGGCGUUCCGAGAGUACCCGAAGAAAAAGCAUCGGCUAACUCCGUGCCAGCAGCCGCGGUAAUACGGAGGAUGCGAGCGUUAUCCGGAUUUAUUGGGUUAAAAGGGUGCGCAGGCGGAAGAUCAAGUCAGCGGUAAAAUUGGGAGGCUCAACCUCUUCGAGCCGUUGAAACUGGUUGUCUUGAGUGAGCGAGAAGUAUGCGGAAUGCGUGGUGUAGCGGUGAAAUGCAUAGAUAUCACGCAGAACUCCGAUUGCGAAGGCAGCAUACCGGCGCUCAACUGACGCUCAUGCACGAAAGUGUGGGUAUCGAACAGGAUUAGAUACCCUGGUAGUC
rnacentral:rRNA from 1 species